CCCUCGCUCGUCAUCCGGGAGCCGCCACCACCGCCGCCACGCCAUGGGCUUCCUCAGAUCUGUGCCAGCCGGUUCGUUUGAAGAGGGAUCUGGCCGUUGACUAUUGGUGCUUCCCCUCCCUCGACGAUCAGCCAUGACUUGGGAUGGUACUUCUAUCAAGCAAGCAGCGCUUCGGCUGGGAGCUCAAGCUCAAGCAGAAUGUCAAAAACAGGGGCUCUAUCUGCUAAUGGGGUAGCCGGCAAUGCAGUCUAAGAGCUGGCUACUGCUAAUGUGAUUUCUGGAUUUGAGAGGAUGAGAACUUGAGAAGAACAAGCUUGAUACUACGAUUGCAAAAAAAAAGUCUAUACUACAGGUGAGAGUUGAGACACACCAUACAUAGGCUCUGCAAGCGGGCGGAAAUAGACCUCUUCGUCGAUGACUUCUACGAGGACGAUAUUGACCUAGAGGCUGGAGCUUUGCUACUCUUUCCGGCCAACA